CAUAGAAAGAACGAACAAGAGUGAUGGAAAUCGAGAGGAAAGAAAGUUCAUUUAAGUGGAGAAAGAUAUAAGAAGGCCGCCAUGUUGUGUCCUUUCUGUGGCCAACAUCUGGGGACAGUUCAAGUGUUCUGUGGCUCCUGUGGCAAACAUGUACAGUUUGUGGCAAACAUGUACAGUUUGUGGCAGAAGUUGAACACAACAGCGUUCCAUAAGGAGGGUCAGGAACUCACGCUUGGGACCACCAGUGUCCCCUCCAUCCUCAGUUUGUCCCUCAUCAUCAGUGAACUUAACUGACGUCUCAUGAGGGAUCGAAUGAGCCACCUUUGAAGCCGCGGAUUGCUCCAUCCCACACAUUGGCUCUAUUCAUAUUGAACCUGCUGCAAGAUGUAUUUGUUAUUUUUGCAGAGAGUUCUGCAACAAAGUCCGCCGCAGUCAGGUAUUCUGUGCUGGGAAAGACAAAGUGAUGUAUUGUAAUAUUAAAUGAUGAAGCUAGUAAUAAGAUUUACAGAAUAGAAUAGAAAAAUCAAGUGGUAAUAGUAACAAUUAAUACCUUUGCUCCAUUUUGUCUUCUGGCUCAGACUGGCUAUCAAUAAUGAGAAGUGCAUACACAGUUGUGUAGUUGCUGCAGUGAGAAGACAGUUGAAUAAUACUUUCAAAUACAUAAUAUAUGCAUGACAGUCAUAUUUACAAAAGGAUGUCGAUCCUCUUCCUGUUUUUUCAAUACAUUGGGUUCUAAACUGACAACAGCACUUUGUCAUACUCCUGCACAAUCCUUGUAAACAUUUGAAAUGGAUGCAACAAAAAAUAUCUGAGGGUGUUUUUUGUAUCGUCUUCACUAAGAUGUCAGAUGUUGUGGGUGUCAUUUGUAAAUGUAUGAAAGUAUAAUUGUUCUGCUUCCUGGCAAUGUUACGCACUGUGAUUGGAGGCUAUACAAACAAACAAAUGUAAAAUAAAGAUACACAGCAAACAACUGUCACGAUGCAACUGUCAACAUCGUUUACCUGUAGAAGUGGUUCUGACCCGGGGCAGACUGGACCUCUUCCUGGAAUGGGGUUGGUGCUGCAUCCUAGUUUUACCCAGGAAAUAAGUGCACACA